UACGGGGGGAGCAAGCGUUGUUCGGAUUUACUGGGCGUAAAGGGCGCGUAGGCGGUCAGCACAAGUCAGUUGUGAAAUCUCCGAGCUUAACUCGGAAAGGUCAACUGACACUGUGCGACUAGAGUGCGGAAGGGGCAACUGGAAUUCUUGGUGUAGCGGUGAAAUGCGUAGAUAUCAGGAGGAAUACCGGUGGUGUAGACGGCUCUCUGGACCGCAACUGACGCUGAAACACGAAAGCGUGGGUAGCAAACAGG
rnacentral:rRNA from 1 species